AUACGUAGGUGGCAAGCGUUGUCCGGAUUUACUGGGCGUAAAGGGAGCGUAGGCGGAUUUUUAAGUGGGAUGUGAAAUCCCCGGGCUCAACCCGGGGGCUGCAUUCCAAACUGGAAAUCUAGAGUGUCGGAGAGGAAAGCAGAAUUCCUAGUGUAGCGGUGAAAUGCGUAGAGAUUAGGAAGAAUACCAGUGGCGAAGGCGGCUUUCUGGACGAUAACUGACGCUGAGGCUCGAAAGCGUGGGGAGCAAACAGGAUUAGAUACCCUGGUAGUCCACGCCGUAAACGAUGGAUACUAGGUGUAGGAGGUAUCGACCCCUUCUGUGCCGCAGUUAACACAAUAAGUAUUCCGCCUGGGAAGUACGAUCGCAAGAUUAAA
rnacentral:rRNA from 1 species